CUCUCUUCCGCACACUUCUGUUUAAUUUUCUCCAUUAUCAUCAUUUCUCUCGAUUUUCAACUGAUAAGAUCAUGUACUAGUCCCUUUGGCUUUGUGUUGUGAGUUUGUUUAUAGCAAGCAUAACUCAUUGGGUUUACAAAUGGAGGAAUCCUAAAUGCAAUGGCAAACUCCCUCCAGGUUCAAUGGGAUUCCCACUUAUUGGGGAGACCAUCUAGUUUUUCAUUCCAAGCAAGUCCUCAGACAUUUCGGAUUUCAUCAAGAAGAGGAUGAAAAAGUAAGCAAAUAUACAAAUUAUACAAUACAUUUAUAGAAGGUAGUUGUGGGGCCUUAUCCCAUGUGUCCACCCACGAAUACUUCCACACGUCUGUCCACGUGGCAUUGUCCCAGUUAGGCCACAUGUCACUUCUUUCAUCACUGCUAAGACGACCUUCAAGGCAUCUGGAGACAUCUUGUUCAGACCAUUUGCGCUGUUGAGCAGCUCGUAUCUUCCUGAUAGCCUCAAAUCUUCUCUGAUAUGCGAGACCCUAGUUAGCUGACACCGGAUUGAUUGAUGGGAUUCUUCCCAUCCUCAUGUCUACUUCAGUAGACAGACACGUCAAGUCUUAGGUCAUCAGCAAGACUGAAAGGAUGGCAAGUUGUGUCAUGGCGCGCUGUCUGACACAACCCCCAGCCACCUUGUAGAGGGAGACAGAAAACCCAGAUUCUGGUACCGGGGCGGGAACCUUCAUUGCCACAUCUAAUGGAGGAAUUCAUCCUCAGUUGACCAGGUAUCAACAUUGGCGACGUCUGUGGGAACGAAAUA